rnacentral:snRNA from 1 species
GUGGCUCCUCUUGGCCUGCU